rnacentral:rRNA from 1 species
AACGAACGCUGGCGGCAUGCCUAACACAUGCCAGUCGAACGAGACCUUCGGGUCUAGUGGCGCACGGGUGCGUAACGCGUGGGAACCUGCCCUUAGGUUCGGAAUAACUCCCCGAAAGGGGUGCUAAUACCGGAUAAUGUCUUCGGACCAAAGAUUUAUCGCCUUUGGAUGGGCCCGCGUUGGAUUAGCUUGUUGGUAGGGUAAAAGCCUACCAAGGCGACGAUCCAUAGCUGGUCUGAGAGGAUGAUCAGCCACACUGGGACUGAGACACGGCCCAGACUCCUACGGGAGGCAGCAGUGGGGAAUAUUGGACAAUGGGCGAAAGCCUGAUCCAGCAAUGCCGCGUGAGUGAUGAAGGCCUUAGGGUUGUAAAGCUCUUUUACCCGGGAUGAUAAUGACAGUACCGGGAGAAUAAGCUCCGGCUAACUCCGUG